CUGUUAAAUGGUUCAAAGAAUGGUAAUUGAUUUUCAAUUUUUAGUAAGUUUUUCACUUUUGUAAGUGUAAAUGUGUAAUCAUCGUUUCUUUUAUUGUCGUUCAUUGGCGAGAAUCUUAGGAAAUUUGAGGAAAAAAAGAAAGGAAAGAAUGAAGUUUUAAAUUCAAUGUCUUUAUUGUGUUGCCGGUUUUUAAUGAGUUAAAGUGAAAUUCUAAUCUGAAUUUAGUGUAGUUUCGUGUAUUGGAGGAGAUCCAAACAUGUGGUUAGACUAAAAAAAAAUGCUUAAUUUGAAGUGGUUGGAGUUUGGGCUUCUGGGU
rnacentral:misc_RNA from 1 species